rnacentral:lncRNA from 1 species
CUUACAGGUGGGCUGACUACUGACAUGCCAUCAGAGGCCACAGAAAGCCUUCUGUCUCAGUCGCCCUCAUGGAGUACUGGUGUAAAGCCUGGAGAUUCUUCUGAAUUGGUUUUCUUCAUUCUGUCCUAUUAGAUGAUUACCGAGCACUAAUCUAGAGAUGUCUUCACUGUCAAAGAUGUGGAAAUUAGUGUACUUUCAUGAUUUCAUCCCAAAGAGGAAGUUAUUGAAGAGAAGAACAAGUGUUCCUUCAGUAGGGCUGCCUUCCUAAAGGAUCUAAGAAGGAGUUUUAAAGCACCAGCAGCGGGGUUCCUUCGGCAGAAAGCCUUGAUUGAGAUGCUAAAGGCAAUGAGAACUAAGUGGAGCCGCUAAUUAGACACUUUGACUGAGCAGAGUGGGGAAAGCGAGCCCCAUGGAACAGCAGGCAUGGCCUAUGUGCCCGAUAUCUGACAACCCACAUUUUCAGGCUGCAGAGAAAGAAGAAAAUGUUCACCAUUUUAGAGUGGCUGAUAAGAAACGGGGACAGAAGCUACACCCUCCAGAUGACCAUUUCUGAUGAGCAGGAGUCUCACUUAUUAACGGAGUAAGGAUUGAUCAGGAGACAUGAAUUCUUAACAAGCAUCCUUAGACUUUUUCGAGAGGCAACUCUAACCAAGCUGAGAAUCGUCGGCGAGUAUUUUUAGGCACAAGGAUGCAUGAUUAAGAUCAAAGCCCUGCACUUGAUGACUUUCAGAGUUUGUUAAGCACCGUAACACGGGGCUGAAAUUCAAUUUGAACCACUCGUCAGCU